rnacentral:rRNA from 1 species
CCUAUACAUGCAGUCGAGCGGACCGACGGGAGCUUGCUCCCUUAGGUCAGCGGCGGACGGGUGAGUAACACGUGGGUAACCUGCCUGUAAGACUGGGAUAACUCCGGGAAACCGGGGCUAAUACCGGAUGCUUGAUUGAACCGCAUGGUUCAAUCAUAAAAGGUGGCUUUUAGCUACCACUUGCAGAUGGACCCGCGGCGCAUUAGCUAGUUGGUGAGGUAACGGCUCACCAAGGCGACGAUGCGUAGCCGACCUGAGAGGGUGAUCGGCCACACUGGGACUGAGACACGGCCCAGACUCCUACGGGAGGCAGCAGUAGGGAAUCUUCCGCAAUGGACGAAAGUCUGACGGAGCAACGCCGCGUGAGUGAUGAAGGUUUUCGGAUCGUAAAACUCUGUUGUUAGGGAAGAACAAGUACCGUUCGAAUAGGGCGGUACCUUGACGGUACCUAACCAGAAAGCCACGGCUAACUACGUGCCAGCAGCCGCGGUAAUACGUAGGUGGCAAGCGUUGUCCGGAAUUAUUGGGCGUAAAGCGCGCGCAGGCGGUUUCUUAAGUCUGAUGUGAAAGCCCCCGGCUCAACCGGGGAGGGUCAUUGGAAACUGGGGAACUUGAGUG